rfam:Gossypium raimondii chromosome 8, whole genome shotgun sequence.
GAAUCAUGUGGUGAGGGCAUUUGUGUAGUAACUCUUUGAAUCUUUCCCAUGCCUUGUAUAAGAAUUCAUCAUCCAUUUUUUUAAAAGCAGUGAUCUCAUUCUGCAACU